rnacentral:lncRNA from 1 species
UAUUAUUUGAAAACCCAAUAGAAAAGAGAACAUUACACCCUAAUCAACACAUAUCUAUUUCUACUCUUUAAAAAUCUUCGAAGUCAGAGUCUGAUGGAUGGAGGAAUUGCGCCCCACAAAAUGCUGCUAGCAGAAAAGGGUACAUGGACAAGCAUUGGAAGAAUUGAAAGGAAUAAGAUUCCUGGGGAAGAGUUUGAGGUCGGCAUCUAAAUAAGUAUGCCUUGGUGCACAAUGGAUCAUGAGAAUCUUAAUUGAUCUCACUUUAUCCACUUUCCACUUUACUACAAUAAAAUUUACCUUUUUACCUUAACAUGUACACAGAUUGGGGACAUCUCACAUU